rnacentral:rRNA from 1 species
UUCGGGGACCGAAUGACAGGUGGUGCAUGGUUGUCGUCAGCUCGUGUCGUGAGAUGUUGGGUUAAGUCCCGCAACGAGCGCAACCCUUGUCCUUAGUUGCCAGCAUUAAGUUGGGCACUCUAAGGAGACUGCCGGUGACAAACCGGAGGAAGGUGGGGAUGACGUCAAAUCAUCAUGCCCCUUAUGACCUGGGCUACACACGUGCUACAAUGGAUGGUACAAAGGGCAGCAAAACCGCGAGGUCGAGCAAAUCCCAUAAAGCCAUUCUCAGUUCGGAUUGUAGGCUGCAACUCGCCUACAUGAAGCCGGAAUCGCUAGUAAUCGCGGAUCAGCAUGCCGCGGUGAAUACGUUCCCGGGCCUUGUACACACCGCCCGUCACACCACGAGAGUUGGCAACACCCGAAGUCGGUGAGGU